rnacentral:rRNA from 1 species
AGAACGAACGCUGGCGGCAUGCCUAAUACAUGCAAGUCGAACGAAUGCCCUUCGGGGUGUUAGUGGCGCACGGGUGCGUAACGCGUGGGAAUCUGCCCUUGGGUUCGGAAUAACAGUUAGAAAUGACUGCUAAUACCGGAUGAUGACGUAAGUCCAAAGAUUUAUCGCCCAGGGAUGAGCCCGCGUAGGAUUAGCUAGUUGGUGGGGUAAAGGCCUACCAAGGCGACGAUCCUUAGCUGGUCUGAGAGGAUGAUCAGCCACACUGGGACUGAGACACGGCCCAGACUCCUACGGGAGGCAGCAGUAGGGAAUAUUGGACAAUGGGCAAAGCCUAGAUCCAGCAAUGCCGCGUGAGUGAUGAAGGCCUUAGGGUUGUAAAGCUCUUUACCCGAGAUGAUAAUGACAGUAUCGGAGAAUAAGCUCCGGACUAACUCCGUGCCAGCAGCCGC